rnacentral:rRNA from 1 species
AACUUAAGCAUAUCAAUAAGCGGAGGAAAAGAAACCAACAGGGAUUGCCUCAGUAACGGCGAGUGAAGCGGCAACAGCUCAAAUUUGAAAUCUGGCCCCAGGCCCGAGUUGUAAUUUGCAGAGGAUGCUUUUGGCGCGGUGCCUUCCGAGUUCCCUGGAACGGGACGCCAUAGAGGGUGAGAGCCCCGUACGGUUGGACACCAAGCCUUUGUAAAGCUCCUUCGACGAGUCGAGUAGUUUGGGAAUGCUGCUCUAAAUGGGAGGUAUAUUUCUUCUAAAGCUAAAUAUAGGCCAGAGACCGAUAGCGCACAAGUAGAGUGAUCGAAAGAUGAAAAGCACUUUGAAAAGAGGGUUAAACAGCACGUGAAAUUGUUAAAAGGGAAGCGCUUGUGACCAGACUUGCGUCCGGUGAAUCACCCAGCUCUCGCGGCUGGGGCACUUUGCCGGCACAGGCCAGCAUCAGCUCGCUGUCGGGGACAAAAGCUUCGGGAACGUAGCUCUCUUCGGGGAGUGUUAUAGCCCGUUGCAUAAUACCCUUCGGUGGGCUGAGGUACGCGCUCCGCAAGGAUGCUGGCGUAAUGGUCAUCAGCGACCCGUCUUGAAACACGGACCAAGGAGUCAACCUUAUGUGCGAGUGUUUGGGUGUUAAACCCCUACGCGUAAUGAAAGUGAACGCAGGUGAGAGCUUCGGCGCAUCAUCGACCGAUCCUGAUGUUCUCGGAUGGAUUUGAGUAAGAGCAUAUAGGGUUGGACCCGAAAGAAGGUGAACUAUGCGUGUAUAGGGUGAAGCCAGAGGAAACUCUGGUGGAGGCUCGCAGCGGUUCUGACGUGCAAAUCGAUCGUCAAAUAUGCGCA